UACGUAGGGCGCAAGCGUUGUCCGGAAUUAUUGGGCGUAAAGAGCUCGUAGGCGGUUUGUCGCGUCUGCUGUGAAAACUCGGGGCUUAACCCCGGGCCUGCAGUGGGUACGGGCAGACUAGAGUGAUGUAGGGGAGACUGGAAUUCCUGGUGUAGCGGUGAAAUGCGCAGAUAUCAGGAGGAACACCGAUGGCGAAGGCAGGUCUCUGGGCAUUAACUGACGCUGAGGAGCGAAAGCAUGGGGAGCGAACAGG
rnacentral:rRNA from 1 species